rnacentral:rRNA from 1 species
CGCGUAGGCGGUCAGGUAAGUCGGAUGUGAAAUCCCCGGGCUCAACCUGGGAAUUGCAUUCGAUACUGCUUGGCUAGAGUGUGGAAGAGGGAAGCGGAAUUUCCGGUGUAGCGGUGAAAUGCGUAGAUAUCGGAAGGAACACCAGUGGCGAAGGCGGCUUCCUGGUCCAACACUGACGCUGAGGCGCGAAAGCGUGGGGAGCGAACAG